AAAUGUUUAGCAAGUGACAUGAACGAAUGGGUAGAGAACCUAGCAUAAAGGUGGCAUGGUAACUAAUGACUAAGCAUCCUCAAGUUGGGGAUUCGAUCGAUACUCAUGAUACGUCUUGGCUUGAGGGUGGUAGCUCCCCCUCAAGCGGUGAGUUUUCGAAAAUAGUCACCUUGGGAGCGAGGUCCCUUAUGACGGUCCCUAGCGGUGGUUCGAGGCCCCCUGUUAUGACUGGAUUUGAGUUAUGAGUUAUUGGGGUUAACAAAGUUAACCGGCAAGAUUGGGUAAGAGCCAAAGCUUAUUUAUGAUCCGAGCAUGCAUGCAUUUCCAUUAUCGCAUUGAAUUAUAUAUCUGUUGACCUCUUUCUUGCAGGCGUAGUAUUAGUUGCAUUAGUAGUGGUUACUUUCCCUCCUUUGAAAUAUUUAUGCCUGGAUAGACCUAGUGGGUAAGUCGGCGAGGUCGGAUGCCGAGCCCACUGGGAGCUUUGUUUAGUUCUCACACCACUAACCCUACAGGUCCUAGCACGAGCGGGGCGGCGGAGGACCGAGGCAAGAGUAUUGCGCCGUAAGUAGCGGUCACCGGGACUCUUUAUAUUUUAUAGUCAUUCCCUUUUGGUGUACAUGUAUCAACUUCACCUUGUUGAUUUAGAGAUGUAAAGUGUGAACAAUCAUGUAUUUGGUGGAUGACUAAAUAUAAAAGAUAUGAUGGAUGAAUGGAAUGUAAUAGCUUAGCUUACUUGAAUUUGGUUUAAAUGCAAUCAAAUAUCAUGUAUGUUGUAUAUUUAGCUUAGAGCUUUCGCUUCCGUUGUUGCUUGCCCUCGUGCAAGCCUUGUAUUAUAUAUGCAAAUCUCUUGUUGAUUGCUUAUUUAUACAUGUGGUUGGAGCCUUGGGCGGACAGAGGAGGCUCUGUCCGUUCGGCAUCUGUAGACGUGACCCGAACCUGACCAAAUUGGCGGGGAUUGGGACGUGACAGAUAUAAUGGUAUCAGAGCAAAUGGAAGGAAAGCAAAAGUCUAGGAAUGACCUAGAAACCCUAGGAAAUUAGAGACCUUAGGAGUUUAGGAAACGUUUAACGUGGACUUGGUUUAUGCGAAAGAGAAUGAUUGGGUCAGUGGUAACACUUCUCUAGAAGGAAGUAGAGAUGGACUAGGAGGCUUAAUUGUUGUCUACUUAAAGGACCUUGUGGGACUGCCGACCACAUAACACCGAGAGUGGAAAUAAUUAGGCUUGUGCUUUCGCUUAAUUGGGUAGCUACUUGGAACGUGUAUGAGUCACGUGUGUCGAGUGCUAAUGUGUGUGCAUUGCGUUGCAGGACACGAUGGCACCACCAAGGAGAGUUACGAGGUCCACACCGGCGGAGCCUCGGGAGGAGCCCGGGCAGUCGGGGUCGGACGAAGUACGCGAGUUGCGAGCCCAGGUAGCGGCUUUGGCCGGGGCUAUGCGACAACAAGGGGAGCAGAUUGGACAGCUCCACGAAAUGAUGGCGCAACAGGCGGCGGCUGCAUCAGUGCCGAGGGAUCCACCCCCAUCGGCUGCUCCUAUAGCACCACCUCCUGCGGUGGCGGCGGCGCCAGUGACGAUGGUUCCUCCGACGGCAUCGGGUUCAUCGGCCCCUAUUCCCGAUGUGCUUGAGGCCGAGCGGGAGCGUACAUUGGCGGCGCUAACGGCAUUGAAGCGGUUCAACCCUCCGACCUUCAACGACGAUGUGAAGGAUCCGUGGGUGACAGAGAAUUGGUUGGCCGCGAUGGAGGCGUUGUUCGAGGAUAUCUAUACCCUCGAGAAGGAUAAAGUUCACCUGGCAGCUCAUUAUUUCAAUGGGUCGGCUCGGUUGUGGUGGAAUCAAGCGAAGAAAAAUCGCUCGCUAGGACACGCUCUUCUCACUUGGAAGGCGUUUCGGGAGAUGCUGCUUAUGGAGUAUUUCCCCGAGAGCGACAAAAGGAAAAUCAAGGAGGAUUUUCGAAAGCUAAGGCAAGGAAGCCGAACGGUGCGGGAGUACGAAAGGGAAUUCACGCACAUGAUUAACUGCGUGCCGAACUUGGUUCACGGCGAUAGGACCGAGCGGAGGUGUUUGAGCGUGGGUUGCGACCCAAGAUUUUCAAGGUCAUUCAUGCAUUCCGCCUAAAGACCUAUGAGGAGGUUCUUGACCGCGCGCUUUUGGUGUAGCGCGAAAAUGCCAUUGCGCGGGAUGAGCGCGAGACAUUGGAUAAGGAUAGGGAAAGGGAGAAAACCAAGAAGCGACCUGCUGGUGGGUCGGCGGGGGCAAUCAAGUUCUAAGCGACCCCCGGGACCUCAGCGAUCACAGUGGCGGGGUGGAAAGAGCCAGAGGACCUACCCGUGCGUGAUAUGUGGCGGAGACCAUCGAGUUACUGCUUGCCCACAGCGGGAGGGGCGAUGUUACCGAUGCGGUCAACCGGGACACUUCGGUCGAGAAUGCCCGGGCGGCGCAUCCCCAGCCCCGUUAUCAGCCUCGGUUCAGUAUACUCAGCGACAGCUGGCGGGACUGCCACCCGCGGUAUCUGCUGGACAUUCGUCGGUGCCUCCUCAGCCGGAGGCCUCUCGAGCACCUAGUGGGCGGAUAUUUGCCACUCAGGUGGAGGAGCCACCAAUCAUCGUUCCCGACGACGUCGUGGCAGGUAUUAUUCUUAUCAGAGGUACUAGAGCUAGAGCUAUAUUCGAUAUAGGUGCAUCUCAAUCAUUCAUAACAGCAUCAUUUGCACUAGCUCAUGACAUAGAGGUCACGCACUUUGAGGAUUAUUGGACGGUGACAGCACCUGGACUUACGUUUCACGUGCACGAUGAAUGUUUAGACUGUCCAGUACAGAUAGGCGAUUGGAUCAUGCCGAUCGACUUGUUAGUGCUGAAGCAAUUGUGGGGAUUUGACGUAAUCUUGGGCACCAAUUGGCUCUCCAAGUAUUACGCGGUUAUCGAUUGUGAAAGAAAAGUUAUCACUUUUCGUGAGCCCAACCAAGAGGAGAUGGUCUAUAAGGCGUGUAAUGGUGCGCGUUUCGCGGCGACCAUAUCGUCAGUAAGGGCGAAGAAAAUGAUCAGGGGUGGUUACAAGGCCUACUUGGCGACCUUCGUGGACCCUCAAGAGGGAUAUCCGGAAUUAGAAAAUAUCCGAGUCGUAUGCAAGUAUCCGGAUGUAUUUCCAGCGGAGUAACCGGGACUGCCACAGGACCGGGAAGUCGAGUUUGUCAUUGACUUGAUUCCUGGGGCAGCGCCAGUUUCGAAGGCUCCGUACAGAAUGGCACCGGUAGAGUUAAAGGAGCUAAAAGCCUAGUUGCAAGACUUGCUCGAUAAAGGCUUCGUACGGCCGAGCGUGUCUCCGUGGGGAGCUCCGGUGCUAUUCGUAAAGAAGAAAGACGGCACACUCCGACUCUGCGUUGACUAUCGCGAGUUGAAUAGAGUGACGAUCAAGAACAAAUACCCAUUGCCAAGGAUUGAUGAUCUAUUCGAUCAGUUGCAAGGGUCAAGGGUAUAUUCUAAGAUUGAUCUGCAGUCGGGGUAUCAUCAAUUGAAGAUACGGCCCAAGGAUGUGCACAAAACGGCGUACCGUACGCGGUAUGGCCAUUAUGAGUUCACGGUAAUGCCGUUUGGGCUUACUAAUGCCCCGGCGGCAUUUAUGGACUUGAUGAAUAGAGUCUUCCGUCCGCUAUUGGACCGGUGCGUCGUGGUGUUCAUUGACGACGUAUUGGUAUAUUCUCGGACCGAAGAAGAACACGAAGAACAUUUAAAGCUCGUGUUGGAGAUACUCCGGAAGGAAAAGCUUUACGCAAAACUAAAGAAAUGUGAGUUUUGGCUUUCGGAGGUUACUUUCUUCGGUCACGUUGUAUUCGGAGACGGUAUCUCGGUAGACCUAAAGAAAGUGGAGGUAAUCAAAGAUUAGCCUCGCUCGACAAGCAUAGCGGAAAUUCGUAGCUUCCUUGGACUUGCGGGCUAUUACCGGCGGUUCGUGGAGGGGUUUGCUAAGAUAACAACUCCACUAACGCGCCUUACGCACAAAGGGGUGAAGUAUGUUUGGAGCCUCGAGUGUGAACGGAGCUUUGAGGAGCUAAAGAAUAGACUGACGUCUACUCCGGUGCUUGCUUUGCCGACGCCGGGAGAGAGUUAUGUCAUGUACAGUGAUGCCUCAUAUGUCGGACUCGGGUGUGUUUUGAUGCAAAACGGCCGAGUCAUAGCUUAUGCUUCGCGCCAAUUGAAGAGUUAUGAAAAGAACUACCCGACUCAUGAUCUUGAGCUAGCGGCGAUCAUAUUCGCGCUAAAAUUGUGGAGGCAUUACUUGUAUGGGGAACAUUGUGAGAUCUACAUCGAUCAUAAGAGUCUCAAGUACUUGUUCACCCAAAAGGAGCUAAACUUACGACAGCGGCGGUGGUUGGAGUUGCUUAAAGAUUACGAUGUCACGAUUCUCUACCACCCCGGGAAAGUGAACGUCGUGGCCGAUGCUCUAAGUAGAAAGUCGGCGGAGAAUUUGGCGACGGAAGUUACACCUCAACCGGCUUUGCAAAAGGAGAUGUAGCGGUUUGGUCUAGAGGUUGUGGCGCCGGGAGUGCGGGCAACGCUUGCCACCCUGGUUGUGCAACCAACCUUGUUGGAGAAGAUUAAAGGGUCACAAGCGUCAGAUGAAUUUCUACAAAAGAUGCGGAGCAAAGUUGAGAGUGGUAGUGCCGAUGAUUUCGGCAUUGGAACCGACGGCACACUACGAUAUCGAGAUCGUUGGUGCGUACCCAAGGACGACGACCUUCGGAAGGCGAUUAUGCAGGAAGCGCAUCAAUCUCCCUACAGCAUACACCCGGGCGGCACCAAAAUAUAUCGAGACCUGAAAUUGCAUUAUUGGUGGCCGGGCAUGAAGAAGGAUAUAGGAGAGUUCGUAGCGCAGUGUCUCACGUGCCAACAAGUUAAGGCGGAACGUCGAUUUUCGGCUGGAAAGUUACAAAAUCUACCAAUACCCGUGUGGAAAUGGGAAAAUAUCGCAAUGGACUUUGUGACGGGUUUGCCUAGAUCCCAAGGUGGACAUGAUGCGAUUUGGGUAGUUGUGGACCGGUUGACAAAAUCGGCACACUUUUUGCCGAUCCACACUACUUGGUCGGGAGACAAGUUAGCUCAAGUCUAUGUUGAUGAGGUGGUGAGACUUCACGAGGUUCCGGUAUCUAUUGUAUCGGAUCGGGACCCUAGGUUCACCUCUCAUUUUUGGAAGAGCUUGCAAGACGCAUUGGGCACGCGGCUCGACUUUAGUACAGCAUUCUAUCCUCAAAGUGACGGUCAAUCGGAGAGGACGAUUCAAAUACUUGAGGACAUGCUUCGAGCGUGUAUACUUGAUUAUAAGGGCGGAUGGCACGAUCACUUACCGAUGGCGGAAUUUGCAUACAACAGUAGUUACCAAGAAAGCAUUGCGAUGGCGCCAUUCAAGGCCCUGUAUCGAAGGAAAUGUCGCUCGCCAAUACAUUGGAGCGAUGUGGGCGAGAAGAUGGUUCUUGGCCCGGAUGUAGUGCGGGAGGCGGAGGAGAAGGUCUGCCUUGCCCAACAAAGAUUAGCGACAACGCAAUCGAGGCACAAGAGUUAUGCCGACAAGCGGCGAAAGGAUAUCGAGUUCGUGGAUGGAGACCGCGUAUUUCUAAAAGUGUCGCCGAUGCGAGGAGUUAAGCGAUUCGGUGUUCGCGGGAAGCUAAGUCCCCGCUAUAUCGGACCCUUCGAGAUUUUGGAACGAGUUGGUGCGGUGGCCUACAGGCUGGCAUUACCACCUAGCCUUGCGGGAGUACAUGAUGUGUUCCAUGUAUCCCAACUCUGCAAGUAUGUUUACGACCCGGAUCAUAUUCUCUCGUAUAUACCGAUAGAGCUCCAAGAGGAUAUGACCUACGAAGAGUUCUCGGCUUAUAUCGCAGAUCGGGAAGUGAGGAAACUACGAAAUCGCGAAAUUCCGUAUGUUAAAAUUCAUUGGAGUGAGCACGACGAUCGGGAAGAAACUUGGGGACUCGAGACCGAGAUGCAAGAGCGCGAUCCUCAUCUCUUCGACGAGUUGAAUUCAGGUAUGGAUUCCGAAUAAAUAGUUUCGCGGACGAAACUAAGUUUUAGGGGUGGAGAAUGUAACGUACCACGUUUCUCGUAACCCGUGCCGAGUUUCGUCAAAACGAGCGGAACGCGGAGUGGAACGAGUUAGAGUGGACCCUAAGUGCAUUAGAGUCCAUAAGUGAAGCUAAAGGGACCCGAGAGAGAGCAAAUCUGGAAAUCUGGCUAAGUCCCAGAUUUUGAGCUCUCGGGGACCGGUCCCUGAAGGAGAGACCGGUCCCCGUGCGCGUAGCCUGCCAGAAAAUCCUGAGGCAUCCGGUCCCUGGUGGUGAGACCGGUCCUCAAGAGACCGGUCCUGGAAGGGGCAGACCGGUCCCCCGCUGCACAGCAGUUGAAAAACCCGAAAAUUUGGCUAAGUCCUGGAAACCCAUCGUUCGGGAACCGGUCCCUGGUCGGGGAGACCGGUCCCCGAAGGCGAAAAAUGCCCAGUUUGGGCAGUUCAAUGGAAAACAAGUGGAGGGGCUUAAGUGCAAUUAUUACAACACUACAUAUGGUCCAACCCCUCUCUCCCACAGCCAUUUCUCUCCCCUUCUCUCAUUUCUUCUCUUUCUCUCUCUAGAACUCCUCUCGUGCUUGGAGAAGAAGAAGGAGAACUUGGAGAAGAAGGUGGAUUUGGUGCUUUGGAGGUUCUAGGAGCUCUCCAACAAGAAGAAUCUUGGUAGAGCUUGGACUAGAGGUAAGUUUUGUAAGUUUUUCCUCUAGGGUUUGGAUUUUGACUUAGGGAUUUGAAGCUUUGUGCUCCUUAGAGACUUUAGAGGCUCUUUUGAGCCAUGAAUGCCAUGGUACCCAUGGGAGCUCAAGGUGCUCUCAUGGUGAACCCUUGGAAGUUGUAUUAGGAGCCCUAGGGUUGGUUCCAAAGACCUAGAAACCUUAGUAGGAUGCUUCUUAGAUAAUCCUAAGCUAUUGUUUGCUUAGGGUUGGGAUCGAUUCAAGGGGGAACCCUAAAUGACAUAGUUAGGGCUUGAAAGUUGGGGCUUUUGCACUAGAAUUUUUCGGGGACGAAUUGAUCCCUAGAAACCUAAUUGGAGGUGCCCUAAACACGUGGGACAACUCCGUUCGACGAAACGAAAUUGUUAGAGUAUGGUUUAUAUACAAUGGGCCUGAUUUGGCUCUAUUUUGGGGUUGUAGGUUGAAGAGUGGCGAUCAGUUGAGCGUGGGAACCAUCGAAAUAGCUUUCCUAAACCUCACAGGUGAGGGGUGCACGCCGGAAUCGUUGGAUUCCCCUCUAUGUCUAUUUCUCUAUUUUUGAACAUAUGUUGUUUAGUCACUCAUGCAUAUUAGGGUUAAUUUACAUAUGAACUUUGGUUGUAUCAUUAUGUUUUCUCUAAUGUAUUAGAAAGUAGAAAGAUACGGAACCAUGAUGGACAUGUAUUGUUGGACCCUAACGAUUGCAUGAUUGUGAGACUUGGACUUAGCAAUAGUAAAUACUUGUGACAUUGACAAUAGAGAAAUAGAUUAGCACUGACAAGUAAGUGUUAAACAUAGGUUUAACCAUAGUGACAUUGUGACAAAAAUGUUUAGCAAGUGACAUGAACGAAUGGGUAGAGAACCUAGCAUAAAGGUGGCAUGGUAACUAAUGGCUAAGCAUCCUCAAGUUGGGGAUUCGAUCGAUACUCAUAAUACGUCUUGGCUUGAGGGUGGUAGCUCCCCCUCAAGCGGUGAGUUUCCGAAAAUAGUCACCUUGGGAGCGAGGUCCCUUAUGACGGUCCCUAGGGGUGGUUCGAGGCCCCCUGUUAUGACGAGAUUUGGGUUAUGAGUUAUUGGGGUUAACAAAGUUAACCGACAAGAUUGGGUAAGAGCCAAAACUUAUUUAUGAUUGGAGCAUGCAUGCAUUUCCAUUAUCGCAUUGAAUUAUAUAUCUGUUGAC
rnacentral:lncRNA from 1 species